rnacentral:rRNA from 1 species
GACGAACGCUGGCGGCGUGCUUAACACAUGCAUGUCGAACGGAAAGGCCCUGCUUUUGUGGGGUGCUCGAGUGGCGAACGGGUGAGUAACACGUGAGUAACCUGCCCUUGACUUUGGGAUAACUUCAGGAAACUGGGGCUAAUACCGGAUAGGAGCUCCUGCUGCGUGGUGGGGGUUGGAAAGUUUCGGCGGUUGGGGAUGGACUCGCGGCUUAUCAGCUUGUUGGUGGGGUAGUGGCUUACCAAGGCUUUGACGGGUAGCCGGCCUGAGAGGGUGACCGGCCACAUUGGGACUGAGAUACGGCCCAGACUCCUACGGGAGGCAGCAGUGGGGAAUAUUGCACAAUGGGCGGAAGCCUGAUGCAGCAACGCCGCGUGCGGGAUGACGGCCUUCGGGUUGUAAACCGCUUUCGCCUGUGACGAAGCGUGAGUGACGGUAAUGGGUAAAGAAGCACCGGCUAACUACGUG